GACUGCUUGGCGCAAUGGUAGCGCGUAGACCUCCUACGAUCAGCAGUAACAUGUGGCGUUUGGAACCAGUCUAAGGUUGCGGGUUCGAGUCCCGUGGUGGUCG